rnacentral:rRNA from 1 species
GACAGAGGAUGCAAGCGUUAUCCGGAAUGAUUGGGCGUAAAGCGUCUGUAGGUGGCUUUUUAAGUCCGCCGUCAAAUCCCAGGGCUCAACCCUGGACAGGCGGUGGAAACUACCAAGCUGGAGUACGGUAGGGGCAGAGGGAAUUUCCGGUGGAGCGGUGAAAUGCGUAGAGAUCGGAAGGAACACCAGUGGCGAAAGCGGCUUCCUGGUCCAGCACCGACGUCAGGCACGAAAGCGUGGGGAGCAAACAGG